ACAAUCCCUUUAAUUUAGUAAAUAUUCACUAGUAGUCUACUUCUAGUUAGGUUAUUCACAAUCUCCCCAACUCUCUCUCACUUUUCACAAGCUCGCACAAUCUCUCACAAACUCCAUCUAGGAUCGUCUCUUUCACAGCUCAAGGGCGUACCGCGUCUAUCCAUCUCUAGCCGGCAGCCGCUCUCUUCGUCACUCUAGAGGAUAACAUUUUGCAGGAAAAAAAUCAGUAAAUCCCAAGUCGUCGAGGGCGAUGGUUUAAAAACAGAGGCAUUAGCCACGUUAUGAUUGCGCAAUAUAUAUGGCAAUGUCCAGAGCAAACAGAAAUCUAAGGCAAGGUGGUUUGGCCUAUGGAUUUAGAGCAAUUGUUGAAUUUCAAUGGUGCAGAACAAGGCUUAUAUAUAUACAACAUGAUGUCAAGCAGAACAUGCAAUAUGAUGUUUUUUUUUUUUUUGUUUUUUUUUGUUUUUUUUUUUUUAAAGUAUUUUGUGAUUAAGGAAUUGAAGCAAUGGUACUACGAGUACAUUGCUUUUAGGUGUUUGCUUAUUUUGAAACAAUGGUACUAUGCAUUGCUUUUAGUUGUUUGCUUAUUUUGAAACAAUGGUGCAAUAUAUAUAUGACUACAUUGUUGGCAAUCUAAUGAUAUA